CAUUUAUUACACCAAGACCAAUGGGGCUCUCGGGCUCCUCAGUGGAGGCGACUCUGGGAACCUGCGCUGAUCGCAUGGGCUUAGCUCCGGCGAUGAAUCUUUCAAGUGAAUGCCUUAUCGACUUUUGAUGGUAGGUUAUGCGCCUACCAUGGGGGGAAGGGGUGACGGGGAAUCGCGGUUCGAUUCCGGAGAGGGAGCCUGACAAACGGCUACCACAUCCAAGGUGCGCAGAGCGGACUCAAAUUACUCACUCGCGGAACGGGGAGGUAGUGACGAAAAAUGACAUUACGGGAGUCAAAUGAAGCCCCCAAAUUGGCAUGAAAACGACCUAAAUCCUUUAACGGGGAUCUUUUGGGGGGUAAGCCUGGUGCCCCCCCCCCCUGACAUUCCAGCUCCAAUAGCGUAUAUUAAAGUUGUUGCGCGAAAAAAGCUCGGACUUGGAUCUCAGUUCAUGCUUCCCCCUCCGCUUGCCGGCGGCUACUGCUUGUCUCAACCCCUUACCUAUUUGUCUUGCGAUGCUCUUUACCGCGUGUCAUGAGCGAGCUGCUCUUUUACUUUGAACAAAGUAGAGUGCUC
rnacentral:rRNA from 1 species